GACGAACGCUGGCGGCGUGCUUAACACAUGCAAGUCGAACGAAGUGGCGAACGGGUGAGUAACGCGUAAUCAACCUGCCCUUCAGAGGGGGACAACAGUUGGAAACGACUGCUAAUACCGCAUACUGAAGGAGGGGAUUGCGUCUGAUAGCUAGUUGGAUGGGUAACGGCCCACCAAGGCGAAGAUCAGUAGCCGGUCUGGGAGGGAGAACGGCCACAAUGGGACUGAGGCACGGCCCAGACGCCUACGGGAGGCAGCAGGUGGGGAGUUUUCGCAAUGGACGGAAGGCUGACGGAGCAAAGCCGCGUGGGUGAUGACGGCCUUCGGGUUGUAAAGCUCUGUUAAUCGGGACGCGGUACCGGAAUAGAAAGCCACGGCUAACUACGUGCCAGCAGCCGCGGUAAUAG
rnacentral:rRNA from 1 species